CCUACGGGUUGCAGCAGUGGGGAAUAUUGCACAAUGGGCGCAAGCCUGAUGCAGCCAUGCCGCGUGUGUGAAGAAGGCCUUCGGGUUGUAAAGCACUUUCAGCGGGGAGGAAGGCGGUGAGGUUAAUAACCUCACCGAUUGACGUUACCGACAGAAGAAGCACCGGCUAACUCCGUGCCAGCAGCCGCGGUAAUACGGAGGGUGCAAGCGUUAAUCGGAAUUACUGGGCGUAAAGCGCACGCAGGCGGUUGAUUAAGUUAGAUGUGAGAUCCCCGGGCUUAACCUGGGAAUGGCAUCUAAGACUGGUCAGCUAGAGUCUUGUAGAGGGGGGUGGAAUUCCAUGUGUAGCGGUGAAAUGCGUAGAGAUGUGGAGGAAUACCGGUGGCGAAGGCGGCCCCCUGGACAAAGACUGACGCUCAGGUGCGAAAGCGUGGGGAGCAAACAGGAUUAGAUACCCCUGUAGUC
rnacentral:rRNA from 1 species